rnacentral:rRNA from 1 species
CAAUCUAGAGUNUCGGAGAGGAAAGUGGAAUUCCUAGUGUAGCGGUGAAAUGCGUAGAUAUUAGGAAGAACACCAGUGGCGAAGGCGACUUUCUGGACGAAAACUGACGCUGAGGCGCGAAAGCCAGGGGAGCGAACGGGAUUAGAUACCCCGAUAGUCCUGGCCGUAAACGAUGGGUACUAGGUGUAGGAGGUAUCGACCCCUUCUGUGCCGGAGUUAACGCAAUAAGUACCCCGCCUGGGGAGUACGACCGCAAGGUUGAAACUCAAAGGAAUUGACGGGGGCCCGCACAAGCGGUGGAGUAUGUGGUUUAAUUCGACGCAACGCGAAGAACCUUACCAGGUCUUGACAUUGAUGGACAGAACCAGAGAUGGUUCCUCUUCUUCGGAAGCCAGAAAACAGGUGGUGCACGGUUGUCGUCAGCUCGUGUCGUGAGAUGUUGGGUUAAGUCCCGCAACGAGCGCAACCCCUAUCUUAUGUUGCCAGCACUUCGGGUGGGGACUCAUGAGAGACUGCCGCAGACAAUGCGGAGGAAGGCGGGGAUGACGUCAAAUCAUCAUGCCCCUUAUGACCUGGGCUACACACGUACUACAAUGGGAGUUAAUAGACGGAAGCGAGAUCGCGAGAUGGAGCAAACCCGAGAAACACUCUCUCAGUUCGGAUCGUAGGCUGCAACUCGCCUACGUGAAGUCGGAAUCGCUAGUAAUCGCAGGUCAGCAUACUGCGGUGAAUACGUUCCCGGGCCUUGUACACACCGCCCGUCACACCACGAAAGUCGGAAGUGCCCAAAGCCGGUGGGGUAACCUUCGG